rnacentral:rRNA from 1 species
GGGAUUCCCAUAGUAACGGCGAGUGAAAUGGGAAAAGCCCAGCGCUGAAUCCGAGGGUCGGCAACGGCCCUUGGAGCUGUAGCGUGAAGGUGGUUCUAAUUCGUGCGGCAACCUGGCGUAAGUUCUCCUGAGUGAGGCUCCAUGCCAUGGAGGGUGCAAGCCCCGUAUCGCCGGGUGCCUGUGCGAAUAUAAGACUACCAGAGAGUCGCCUUGUUUGCGAGUACAAGGUGAAGUCGGUGGUAAACGCCAUCGAAGGCUAAAUAUGACCACGAGUCCGAUAGCGAACAAGUACAGUGAUGGAAAAUUGAAAAGAACUUUGAAGAGAGAGUGAAACAGUGCGUGAAACCGCUCAGAGGCAAGCAGAUGGGGCCUCGAAGGUAGAGCAGCGAAUUCAGUUGGUAGUCCGUGAGCCUGGCGGGAUGUGAGAUUGCAAAACUCUGCCUGUCAGCGCAUAGCGGCUGCUAAUGCACUUUCGCUGUUUGUACGCCACCGCCGUUGACGCGUACAUCCGUCGAGCCCGCAUGUGGAGCCUGAUUCCUUCGGGAGUCGGUGUCUCACGGUGGGUAAGGCGCGCUUGUCCGACAACCGGUAUGGAUGGCUGCGUUGGGUUGAGCGCUCAUUUGCGGCGUAGUGGAUGACGAACGCAAGUUCGGCUCUGCUGCACGUGAUUGAAUCGCGGAAACUUUCAGCGUGGCUCAUUCGGUGGCGAGUAGAUGGCUGCCCAUCUAACCCGUCUUGAAACACGGACCAAGGAGUUCAACAUGCGCGCUAGUUGUUGGGUUACCCGAAACCCGCAAGCGAAGUGAAAGCAAGUCACGGCUCUGCCGUGUAUUUGGCGAGAUCCCGUAACUUGGCGGUGUAAAAGCCGUCGAGCCGGGCGCACCGCCGGCCCAUCAUAAGCUCACGUGGCUGUGGUGGCGCUUGAGCGUGCACGUUGAGACCCGAAAGAUGGUGAACUAUGCCUGGACAGGGCGAAGCCAGGGGAAACUCUGGUGGAGGCCCGUAGCGAUUCUGACGUGCAAAUCGAUCGUCUGAUCUGGGUAUAGGGGCGAAAGACUAAUCGAACCAUCUAGUAGCUGGUUCCCUCCGAAGUUUCCCUCAGGAUAGCUGGCACUCGGAGAACGUAGUCUCUCCCGAUAAAGCGAAUGAUUAGAGGUCUUGGGGUCGAAACGACCUCAACCUAUUCUCAAACUUUGAAUGGGAGAGUGUCUGGCUUGCUUAAAUGCAAUGAAGUCCGGACGUUGGAUACGAGCGCCUAGUGGGCCACUUUUGGUAAGCAGAACUGGCGCUGUGGGAUGAACCGAACGUUGAGUUAUGGCGCCCGACGAGACGCUCAUGAGAUCCCAGAAAAGGUGUUGGUUGCUAUAGACAGCAGGACGGUGGCCAUGGAAGUCGGAAUCCGCUAAGGAGUGUGUAACAACUCACCUGCCGAAGCAACUAGCCCUGAAAAUGGAUGGCGCUAGAGCGUCUGGCCUAUACUCGACCGUUGCAGCAGCUGAGCAACGCUAAAAAAGUCAAGCUGCAACGAGUAGGAGGGUCGCGGCGGUGGCGUCGAAGGCUUACGGGCGUGAGCCCGGCUGGAGCCGCCGUCGGUGCAGAUCUUGGUGGUAGUAGCAAAUACUCAAGCGAGAACCUUGAGGACUGAAGUGGAGAAGGGUUCCAUGUGAACAGCAGUUGAACAUGGGUCAGUCGACCCUAAGCCAUCGGCGAAAGCCGUUCAGAAGCGGUGUGGAUAGUGGCACUUGUUGUCACUGGUCUGUGUUGUGAUUUCUGCC